UUAUUCGGUAGCACAUUUAACUUGCAAGUGACAUAAUGAGUUUGCAAGUGACAUAAUGACUAUCUUCUCCGAAUUCCAUUUCGGUCUGCUGGUGUUGUUGAUUUACUCGAUCGACGGCCUGACUAUCGAAAACCCAGUCCAACUAUCAAGGGACGAUUACUGUCCACCAGAAUAUAAACUUUGUAGUGACGAAAUGGCCACAACUCCGACGGGAAAAAUCACACUUUCAAAUUUAGCAGUUGGAAACUCACCGAAAGAGUGUUACUUUGAUAUUUACGCCCCUGUCGGCCAGUACGUUCAAAUGACCUGCUCGGACGUUUUUAGUUCCGUCUGGACAAAUUAUUUCUCGCUGCGUGGAACGGUCGAGACUUUUGCGAGUCCACCUGUGCUCAAAAGGAUUUACACAUCGUACGACAAUCGAAUGGGCAUGUAUCUUCACGAGUGACUAGUGGUUCGAUCGAGUCAAUUGCAAUUGGGAAAUGAUGACGGUACCGUCGGGAACGACCGACUUCAAAUUUUGUAUUCACGGACGUACUAAAACGUCCAGCGGAACCAUUCCUCCUUUGGACAUGUCGACUGGAGAAACGAGAUGGUGUCGCUUUUACAUCGAGGCCCCUUCCAAUCAACGCGUUCAAAUGACUUGCUCUUCCAUCAACCUCGGCAAUUCCCCAACGAGUUACAUGAGAAUGAGAGGACAAGAUAUCAUCGCUCAGCCACCCAUUGUUAAUCAAAUCUAUACAACAAAUGAGCAUUAUUUGGACUUUGAUUCUCGAAUCACCAACCCAGACUGGUUCGAAUGCAAGUGGACCUUUGUGCAAUCGUUGCGCAUUCGAAUUAUUAACAUAAUGGUUGGCAUCGCAUGAAAUGAAUUGGAAUUUAGAAUUUUUCAAUCGCUAUUUCAAAAACGUUUAAAGAACGACACGAUUCUUGUCGUUCUUUCCCACUUGAUGUAGCGACGAGCAAAAUGGAUUUUAAAAUACAAAAGUUAUAGCAGCA